rnacentral:lncRNA from 1 species
UAACAUAUUCAAAGCCUCUUAAAGCUAAUGGUUUCUUAAAGCUAUUUAGUGAAUCAAUGAGACUUGCAUCCGUGAAACGAUUGAGACUUGCAUCCGUGAAACGAUUCUAACUGUUUUUUAUAGCUACUUUUUGUAGACUUUUUGUUUGUCAAUCUCAUAUGAAAAUUAUAGCUACUUUCUAUUUGUCAAUCAGACUUGGUUGUGUUCAGAUG